rnacentral:rRNA from 1 species
GAUGAACGCUAGCUACAGGCUUAACACAUGCAAGUCGAGGGGAAACGAUAUUGGAAGCUUGCUUCCGAUAGGCGUCGACCGGCGCACGGGUGAGUAACGCGUAUCCAACCUGCCCAUCACUUGGGGAUAACCUUGCGAAAGUAAGACUAAUACCCAAUGACGUCUCUAGAAGACAUCUGAAAGAGAUUAAAGAUUUAUCGGUGAUGGAUGGGGAUGCGUCUGAUUAGCUUGUUGGCGGGGUAACGGCCCACCAAGGCGACGAUCAGUAGGGGUUCUGAGAGGAAGGUCCCCCACAUUGGAACUGAGACACGGUCCAAACUCCUACGGGAGGCAGCAGUGAGGAAUAUUGGUCAAUGGACGAGAGUCUGAACCAGCCAAGUAGCGUGCAGGAAGACGGCCCUAUGGGUUGUAAACUGCUUUUAUAAGGGAAUAAAGUGAGUCUCGUGAGACUUUUUGCAUGUACCUUAUGAAUAAGGACCGGCUAAUUCCGUGCCAGCAGCCGACGG